rnacentral:rRNA from 2 species
GAGACUGCCAGUGAUAAACUGGAGGAAGGUGGGGAUGACGUCAAGUCAUCAUGGCCCUUACGACCAGGGCUACACACGUGCUACAAUGGCGCAUACAAAGAGAAGCGACCUCGCGAGAGCAAGCGGACCUCAUAAAGUGCGUCGUAGUCCGGAUUGGAGUCUGCAACUCGACUCCAUGAAGUCGGAAUCGCUAGUAAUCGUGGAUCAGAAUGCCACGGUGAAUACGUUCCCGGGCCUUGUACACACCGCCCGUCACACCAUGGGAGUGGGUUGCAAAAGAAGUAGGUAGCUUAACCUUCGGGAGGGCGCUUACCACUUUGUGAUUCAUGACUGGGGUGAAGUCGUAACAAGGUAACCGUAGGGGAACCUGCGGUUGGAUCACCUCCUUA